rnacentral:rRNA from 1 species
UACGUAGGGGGCAAGCGUUGUCCGGAAUCAUUGGGCGUAAAGCGCGUGUAGGCGGUUGAGUAAGUCUGCUCUGAAAGCCCGGGGCUCAACCCCGGGAGGCGGGUGGAUACUGCUCAGCUCGAGUCCGGAAGAGGAGUGUGGAAUUCCUGGUGUAGCGGUGAAAUGCGCAGAUAUCAGGAGGAACACCAAUGGCGAAGGCAGGUCUCUGGGCCGCUACUGACGCUGAGAAGCGAAAGCAUGGGGAGCGAACAGG